AUUGAACGCUGGCGGCAGGCUUAACACAUGCAAGUCGAACGAGUGGCGGACGGGUGAGUAAUGUAUCGGAAAGUGCCUGGUGGAGGGGGAUAACUACUCGAAACGGUAGCUAAUACCGCAUACUAUCAGAUGUGCCCAGAUGGGAUUAGCUAGUUGGUGGGGUAAAGGCUCACCAAGGCGACGAUCCCUAGCUGGUCUGAGAGGAUGACCAGCCACACUGGAACUGAGACACGGUCCAGACUCCUACGGGAGGCAGCAGUGGGGAAUAUUGGACAAUGGGCGAAAGCCUGAUGUAGCCAUGCCGCGUGUAUGAAGAAGGCCUUCGGGUUGUAAAGUACUUUCAGCGGGGAGGCGGUACCUGCAGAAGAAGCACCGGCUAACUCCGUGCCAGCAGCCGCGGUAAUAC
rnacentral:rRNA from 1 species